rnacentral:lncRNA from 10 species
UCCAGAGUGCUCACCAUUACACGAUGGCACCACUUACUUCUCAAAAAAAUCCAGCAAACUAUAACAGAUCAGUAGUUAUCAACCAGGGGCAAUUUUGUCCCCAGGGACAGUAUCAGAAGACAUUUUUAAUUGUCACAACUGGCAGAGCUGAGGAGUGGCUCUGGUGUCCAGUGGGUAGGGGACUUGGAUGCUGCUAAACAUCCUACAAAGUACAGGACAGCCUCCCACAACAAAGAAUGAUCCCACCCAAAAGGUUAAUAGUACCAACAAUGAGAAUCCCUGGCGUAGAUCCAGGUAUAGUAAGUCUGCAAAAGCCAGGAUCUACAUGCAGCCAGGCCUCCGUAUCUGCAAGUUCCAUGUCAGCAGAUUCAACCAACUGUGGAUCAAAAAUAUUUGGAGAAAAAUAAAAACAAUAAAAAUAACAGUA